GAUGAAGAACUUAGCGAAAUGCGAUAAGUAAUGUGAAUUGCAGAAUUCAGUGAAUCAUCGAAUCUUUGAACGCACCUUGCGCUCCUUGGUAUUCCGAGGAGCAUGCCUGUUUGAGUGUCAUGAAAUUCUCAACCUUUUCAGCUUUCUUUGUUGAUCAGGCUUGGAUGUGGGAGUAUGCGGGCUUCUCAGAAGUCGGCUCUCCUGAAAUGCAUUAGCGGGACCUUUGUUGCCUGGCUUUGGUGUGAUAAUUAUCUACGCCAUUGUAGUCAAGCAGCUUAAAAUGAGGUUUCAGCUUCUAACCGUCUCCCCUGAGACAACUUUUUGACAAUUUGACCUCAAAUCAGGUAGGACUACCCGCUGAACUUAAGCAUAUCAAUAAGCGGAGGA
rnacentral:misc_RNA from 1 species